CUCUGGGCCUGCUGCAAGGGCUCAGGGCGUGAAAGAG
rnacentral:ncRNA from 1 species